rnacentral:rRNA from 1 species
ACGGAAGGCAGCAGUGGGGAAUUUUGCGCAAUGGGGGCAACCCUGACGCAGCAACGCCGCGUGCGGGACGGAGGGCUUCGGCCCGUAAACCGCUUUCAGCAGGGAAGACAUCGACGGUACCUGCAGAAGAAGCUCCGGCUAACUACGUGCCAGCAGCCGCGGUAAUACGUAGGGGGCGAGCGUUAUCCGGAUUCAUUGGGCGUAAAGCGCGCGUAGGCGGCCGCCUAAGCGGAGUUUCUAACCUUGGGGCUCAACCUCAAGCCGGACUCCGAACUGGGCGGCUCGAGUGCGGUAGGGGCAGGCGGAAUUCCACGUGUAGCGGUGAAAUGCGCAGAUAUGUGGAGGAACACCGAUGGCGAAGGCAGCCUGCUGGGCCGGCACUGACGCUGAGGCGCGAAAGCUGGGGGAGCGAACAGGAUUAGAUACCCUGGUA